rnacentral:rRNA from 1 species
GAUGAACGCUGGCGGCGUGCCUAAUACAUGCAAGUCGAGCGAACGGACGAGAAGCUUGCUUCUCUGAUGUUAGCGGCGGACGGGUGAGUAACACGUGGAUAACCUACCUAUAAGACUGGGAUAACUUCGGGAAACCGGAGCUAAUACCGGAUAAUAUUAUGAACCGCAUGGUUCAAAAGUGAAAGACGGUCUUGCUGUCACUUAUAGAUGGAUCCGCGCUGCAUUAGCUAGUUGGUAAGGUAACGGCUUACCAAGGCAACGAUGCAUAGCCGACCUGAGAGGGUGAUCGGCCACACUGGAACUGAGACACGGUCCAGACUCCUACGGGAGGCAGCAGUAGGGAAUCUUCCGCAAUGGGCGAAAGCCUGACGGAGCAACGCCGCGUGAGUGAUGAAGGUCUUCGGAUCGUAAAACUCUGUUAUUAGGGAAGAACAUAUGUGUAAGUAACUGUGCACAUCUUGACGGUACCUAACCAGAAAGCCACGGCUAACUACGUG